rfam:Hepatitis A virus GBM/FRhK RNA.
CAGGGUUCUUUAGUCUGUUUCUCUAUAAGAACACUCAAUUUUCACGCUUUCUGUCUUCUUUCUUCCAGGGCUCUCCCCUAGCCCUAGGCUCUGGCCGUUGCGCCCGGCGGGGUCAACUCCAUGAUUAGCAUGGAGCUGUAGGAGUCUAAAUUGGGGACGCAAAUGUUUGAGACGUCGCCUUGCAGUGUUAACUUGGCUCUCAUGAACCUCUCUGAUCUUCCACAAGGGGUAGGCUACGGGUGAAACCUCUUAGGCUAAUACUUCUAUGAAGAGAUGCUUUGGAUAGGGUAACAGCGGCGGAUAUUGGUGAGUUGUUAAGACAAAAACCAUUCAACGCCGGAGGACUGGCUCUCAUCCAGUGGAUGCAUUGAGUGGAUUGAUUGUCAGGGCUGUCUCUAGGUUUAAUCUCAGACCUCUCUGUGCUUAGGGCAAACACCAUUUGGCCUUAAAUGGGAUCCUGUGAGAGGGGGUCCCUCCAUUUACAGCUGGACUGUACUUUGGGGCCUUAUGUGGUGUUUGCCGCUGAGGUACUCAGGGGCAUUUAGGUUUUUCCUCAUUCUUAAACAAUAAUG